rnacentral:lncRNA from 1 species
GGGGAUUUACAGAGGUUUUUGACCAUGUAUGUGGCCUUCGUUGAAAACCAGAAUUGGAAUGAGAUGUAUUUAAAGAAACCCAUCACCAGAAUAUUUAUUAUUACAUUUUGAUCUAAUUUGGAACAUUUUCCCAUAGGCUUGAUAGAAGAAAAAGAGCCAGAAGUCUUUGGAGAACACGAUGGGUAAAGGAAAUAGAUGACCCUCCAUUCAUUCCGUCGGGAAGCGAGAAGGCGUUUGAACACUGGGCCCACAUGCCUGGGUUCAUAUCCCAGCUCGGUCAGAUCAAGAAUGAGGGAUGAGGAGUUCCCAUCGUGGAGCACUGGAAAUGAAUCCGACUAGGAACCAUGCAGUUGCAGGGCUUCCCGAGGAAGAGAAUGAUUUUUAGGUAAACCAACCAAGCCCAAAACCUGAUAACACCGAACGUCACAUGCUGACAGCUCUUUGGAAAACCUUUCCCCUUGGAAUCUACACUUUGACUGAGCUUUCAAACCAGAAGUUCAUCUUACCCAGGAAAGAGUGAGUAAUUUGCUUUCUUUCUCUUAUUUUAUUUUAUUUUUUAAAUUUUAUUUUACCUUACCUUAACUUAUCUUAUCCUAUCCUAUUCUGUUUUUCUUUUUAUGGCUGCACCUGGCAUCAUAUGGUAGUUCCCAGGCUAGGGGUCAAAUCAGAGCUGCAGCCACAGCAACGCCACAUCUGAGCCUCAUCUGUGACCCGCGCUGCAGCUUGUGGCAAUGCCAGAUCCUUAACCCGCUGAGUGAGGCCGGGGAUUGACGCCCCAUCCUCACAGACACUAUGUCAGGUUCUUAACCUACUGAGCCACAAUGCGUAUAAUUUGCUUUCUUAAUGUUAUAAUGCUGACAUGGAUGAUCCUGGAUUUGUCAGGAAUAAGAUAAUUGAGCAAAAGAUGAACGAACCAGGGGAUUUAAAAAAGUAACCUAAAAAACCAAAACGCAGCAAAAAAAAAAAGAAGCCACUGCUAGCAGGUAGUUGGGUGCAUCUGAAAACUGCUCUUGCUUCUUUCUGGGAGGGUUGAAAUGGUA